rnacentral:rRNA from 1 species
CCCGCUGAACUUAAGCAUAUCAAUAAGCGGAGGAAAAGAAACUAACAAGGAUUCCCUUAGUAACGGCGAGUGAAGAGGGAACAGCUCAAAUUUGAAAUCUGAUGGCCUACGGCUAUCCGAGUUGUAAUCUAGAGAAGUGUUUUCCGCGCUGGACCGUGUACAAGUCCUUUGGAACAAGGCGUCAUAGAGGGUGAGAAUCCCGUCUACGACACGGACUACCAGUGCUUUGUGAUACACUCUCAACGAGUCGAGUUGUUUGGGAAUGCAGCUCAAAAUGGGUGGUAAAUUCCAUCUAAAGCUAAAUACAGGCGAAAGACCGAUAGCGAACAAGUACCGUGAGGGAAAGAUGAAAAGCACUUUGGAAAGAGAGUUAAACAGUACGUGAAAUUGCUGAAAGGGAAACGCUUGAAGUCAGUCACGUUGGCUAGAAAUCAGCCUUGCUCUUGCUUGGUGUACUUUCUGGUUGAUGGGUCAGCAUCAAUUUUGACCAUUGGAUAAAGGUCAUUGGGAAUACUCCCUGUGUCGUAAUACAGUGGUUGGGAUUGAGGAAUUCAGCACGCCGCAAGGCAGGGUUUCGACCACAUUCGUGCUUAGGAUGCUGGCAUAAUGGCUUUAAUCGACCCGUCUUGAAACACGG